rnacentral:rRNA from 1 species
AUUGAACGCUGGCGGCAGGCCUAACACAUGCAAGUCGAGCGAGCGGCGGACGGGUGCGUAAUGUAUGGGGACUGCCCGAUAGAGGGGGAUAACUACUGGAAACUGUGGCUAAUACCGCAUACUGUCUGAUCCCCCAUAUGGGAUUAGCUAGUAGGUAAGGUAAUGGCGUACCUAGGCGACGAUCCCUAGCUGGUCUGAGAGGAUGAUCAGCCACACUGGGAAUGAGACACGGCCCAGAAUCCUACGGAGGCAGCAGUGGGGAAUAUUGCACAAUGGGCGCAAGCCUGAUGCAGCCAUGCCGAGUGUAUGAAGAAGGCCCUAGGGUUGUAAAGUACUUUCAGUCGGGAGGCGUUGCCGACAGAAGAAGAACCGGCUAACUCCGUGCCAGCAGCCGCGGUAAUAC